rnacentral:lncRNA from 1 species
CAUCUCCUUAGAAACGUCUCCUCCUCCCAUCUAAACAACGAAUCUAAGUUUCCAAAAAUAGAUAACUCGGAGGAAGAAGAGGAAGAAGAAGAAGAAGAAGAAUCUGGUCAACUGGUGUCAAGAGCAGGUCGAGAGCAGGUCGACUCAGUCUUCGCUCUCAUGCGGAUUUUUGUUUCUCCUCUUCAGUUUUAGUCAUGCGUAUUAUCGCAGAUCAGAAGACGAGUGAUGUUUUAUGGUGCGUCACGGCACACGGUAAGAGAAAACCAAAUAUCCACGUGUAACCAUCGUAACCGUUGGCGUUACGCUGUCUGAAGUGUCUACCACGAUCUCGACGUUUUCCCGAUUUCAAUGGUAUACUGUCUUUGGUAAGUAGUGGGCCCAUAUUUAUUUAUAUACUUACUUUAGUUUCUUGGAAAUGGCUUACAUGCUGUGACUAAAGAUUAAAAAAAAACAAAUAAAUAAAGGAAAGAGCCGUAAUUUUGAAUGGUAAAUGAAAGGAUUUCGAUCCUUAUUCUGUUUUCGUUUUCAUUCUCAGUUUAUUCCUGUUUUGGCUCUCUUUUGCUGUUUGUGACUUUUGGAUUCACUUGGUUUUGAUAUUUAAUGGAUAAUUUCAUUCAGACAAGAAAAAGAAGAAAUAUUCGACUCUAAUGUUUUGCCGUCCUUUUAUGGAUAAUUACUAAUUAGGUCAAUAACUUUCCAUUUUAGUGGGUUUCCGAUGCCACACUCAAUGCAUCCAAAAAUAGCUUAAGAUCCCAAAAAUCCAAAAAUUAGAUCUUGUUGGGUCUUCGAGCUUGUUACAAGAUUAACACGUCUCUGUAUAUUGUUAAGUUGAUCCUUUUUCUCGGAUAUACAAGUUGAUUUUCAGAUCAUGAGAUUUAAAAUUUUUUGUGGUACCCUUUCCUAACUUUACAACAAAUUGUACAAAGAAUUUCUAUCUGAGAAAAGAGUUCGUCAUUUAUAAGCUACUACGCCUCGGAUAGCUGAUUGGGCUUUUCGCAUAAUAUUGGCCCAAAUCAUAUUUCGCACUGACUUGAAAAUUUUACUAUGAAAUUUCAAAACACCACAAGAAAUAAAAACGAUCUUCAGUUUUAUUAUAAAGGAAAAAGGCAUGAAGUUUCCAAUUCCUGGUGGAUUUAGGAUCUCGAUCUAUUCAAGAAAUACCUUUGUGUGUUGUUCACGUUUGAUAGAAUUUCCCAAAAUCGUUCGUCAUGGAUAAGGAAGUGUUUUGAAACCGAGUUUUCACAGGUUUCAUGUACAAGAUUGCUUGACCGAAUCUGCUGCCAAUGUUCUUCACUACUGGGAUCUCGCAAUCAAUCAUGGAUAAUUACUAAUUAUGUCAAUAACUUUCCAUUUUAGUGGGUUUCUCAAUGCAUCCAAAAAUAGCUUAAGAUGUCAAAAUUCGAAAUUAGUAAAUAUGCUUUUACAAGAUUGAAAUGUCUCUGUAUAUUGUCACUUUGAGCCUUUUUCCCGGCUAUAUAAGUUGGUUUUUCAGACCUAUAAGAAUUUUGUGUUUCCUUUCCUAAUUUACAACAAAUUGUACAAAAUUAAUUAUGUCUUCUUCUUCUUCUUCUCUAUGGCUCGUCUUCGUCUUGUGGAGAAGAAGAAUCAACGGACUGUGCGAAAUCAUAGUCCAUUAUCACACCAUCCAUGGCGUGAACGACUAUCUUCCCUCUCUUUAACCCCAUCUUCACAGUCUCGACGCCAUUAACGACCAAUCCACCACCAUUUCUCUUCUUCCAAAUCUUCAGUGUGAAACCACUCAACGACUCGUACGACGCCGUUUCGUCUUUCCCUAUGUCUCCUUCCUCCACUUUGUACGGAACCACAGCGAAACUCAUGAUCCUCGAUACGACGGCGUAUGUGUUGUCGCCGUCGUCUUCUAUUCGCCGGCUAUUGUUAAGUUUCAGCCCCAGAUCUCGGCUAAAUGCUUCGUCGGACGGUACGAAGGCAGUGAAAACCAGAUCUUCAGGUAGCAUCUCGAUCAUCAUCUUCCCGAAGAAUCCAAGUUCAUCGGAGAGAUCGUAUCUAAGUUUGCGGAGAGAGAGGUAGUCACCGGCGACCGGAGGUGAUUCGGGUAAUCGAAGGAAGGAGAAGACGAGAAUUGUUAGUGAAGAAGCAGUGAUGAGAAGAAAUAGGAAUAACACUGGAUUCUUCAUGAAAUGAGGUUUCCUCAUCGUUUACAUUGAUUCAUUGAUAGAGCUCUGCGAAAAAGGCUUCCAAGGAAGAAGAAGAAGAAGAAGAAAGAUCGAAGCUCGAUUUGAGAAAGAAGAAGCUAGUACGCUUCGAAAUCUGCGAAAUUUGGAUCUGGUUGGGCUUUUUCUUCGCAUUUUCGGCCCAAAUCAUAUUUCGCAUUGACUUGAAUUGUAAAUACUAAUAAAUACCACAAUAAAGGAACCUAGAGUUUGGUAAUAAUUUUGUUGCUUCUCAUAUAACCCAAGGGAAAAGAAAGUAGAUUAUCCGGUUUAUGGUAAAAUAAACAUGGUUUAGGUUUUUUUUUUGAAUAAUGAGUUUCUUCUAAGCAGUAACUCCAAUGGGAACAUUCUUGAGUCUUGAUGUUCCGUAGAGGGUUUCUUCAAAACGAAUGAUCUCGUUCUUUGAGCCAUAAGCAACUUGAGUUCUAUCGUCGAGGUUGAUGAUGGUCUUGUCAAGCACGGACUUGUAUCCAUCACUGCUGAAUCCGCCAGCAUUCUCAACGAGCAGGCCAAGAGGAGCCACUUCGAACAGCAACCUCAACUUUGCCUUAGCCGUAGGAGAAGUCACGUUUGUGAAGAUUCCUUUCUCCUUCACAAUAAUCUGCCAAAAAACAAAUUGAUAAGUUGUUAAAAUUCAAGUUUCUCAGUCAGAAGUAGAAAUCCGGUUUAAAGCUUCAACGAGGGAACGAACCUGGUUAACGUCAGGAACCAUUCCUCCUGUGUAUCGCAGUGUGUACUUCUCUUUCACGUAGUAAUCAAUCAGCUGAUUUCAAAGUGAAGGUAAAGUAGAAGAAGAAGAAGAAAAGCAUUCAGAGAGAGUUGUAGUUUGGUUAUUAGAUUGAAGCAAAAUUAAAGUCAGAUAGGUUCAAAAGCAAGAACCUUGCUGUAUUCGGAGUUGUCGAAUGUGGCUCUCAAGUUUCCUGGUGAGAACAUUUUCCCUUCUGCGAUCUCUGUUGUCUCCUUAACGUGCUGCCAUUUCCCUGGAAAAACACUUUGAGCUUAGUCUAAGAAAACCACUCAAUGAAUGAAUCUUUUAAGACGGGAAAGCAGAGGAAAACCUUCAUCAAGAAGCAAGAACUCAUGAGUUCCUGGAAACCCUUUAACAGCCAAAACAUAAGUCGUUCGUGGACCAUAGAUUCCCAUGGCUGCAGCCACUUGAUCUGCUCCAGUGACUCCAGUUAACUUGUCUCCAGGCCAAACCCCGAAUAUGGUUCCCACUGUGAAGUUUGUAUCCACAAUGCUUGAUCCAUCCAAUGGAUCAAAUGCAACGCUAAACCCACCUGUCCAAAACAAAUUUCAUACAUUUUCCAUAACAAUUUCCACGGAAUUAGGAAGUGGAAAUGUAACUUAAUUUUACAUGAACCGACCUUCAACUGGACCUCCCAUGUCUUGAAGCUCAGGUACUUCUUCAGAGCAAGCGUACUUGCAAACAUGCGAGUAUUGCAAAGCCUAUAAAGACCAAUACACAAAUCAAAACCUAAUAUGCUCAUUUUCCCGAAAAUCAAACUUAUGAAACAAGUUAUUCAAAAUGUAGUAUAUAUAACCUCAAAGAGAAGCUUGUCGGCGAGCAUAUCGACAGCGAGUUGCUCAUCACCAAAGGAAUUAACACAAGCUGUUCCACCACAAGAAGCUGUUCUAACUUUGAAAGCUAUUGUCCUCAAUGCUUCACCCAUACACAUUAACAAAGUUCUCAGUCCCUUGUCUGGUGUAGCUUGUGUCAAAAACUCUUCCUAUACAGUCACACAAGUAAGAGACUUUCAGUAUAAUCAAAAUUAAAUCUUUAACACUGAGUUUAAAUAAAAAUUGAGUCUUUUUUUGUUACUCUAGAAUUACCAAGCUUUGGCCAAUUUCACAUUUGGUCACACUUGAAGCACCAUUGUUCUUCGCCUUGGUGGACUUCAAUUGCGAUCUUGGUGCUAGUCGCAGUGAAUCUCCAAAGAUCGAGCUCGAUUUCAGACGCUGCUUAUUUCAAAUGUUAAGUACCCGUUUACAAUUAGGCACACAUUCGUUAUAUUGAAUCAAUCAAAAUAAGUUUUCUCACUCACUAUCAGUGAACAAAAUUUUACUCAGUAAUCACGCAUGUGUGUGAAGUCAGUGCUAUAUGCAUAAUUGUAGAAGAUACGAAAUUACGAACCUUGAAGCUGGAAGAAGCGGAGAAGGAAGAAGGAGGAGAAACCAAUGUAGAGGAUCGUUGAGAAGAGACGCUUGGGAGGAGGAUGCCAUGUGAGUAGCGCGCGAUGCUGGUCUCCAUUGCUGAUAUUUGAUCGAAGAAGAAGAAGA